rnacentral:rRNA from 1 species
AGUGAAUAGAUACCCAGGUAGUCCACGCCGUAAACGAUGGAUACUAGCUGUUCGGAGCAAAUCUGAGUGGCUAAAGCGAAAGUGAUAAGUAUCCCACCUGGGGAGUACGCACGCAAGUGUGAAACUCAAAGGAAUUGACGGGGGCCCGCACAAGCGGUGGAGCAUGUGGUUUAAUUCGAUGAUACGCGAGGAACCUUACCAGGGCUUAAAUGUAGAUUGACAGGACUGGAAACAGUUUUUCUUCGGACAAUUUACAAGGUGCUGCAUGGUUGUCGUCAGCUCGUGCCGUGAGGUGUCAGGUUAAGUCCUAUAACGAGCGCAACCCCUGUCGUUAGUUGCCAGCGAGUCAUGUCGGGAACUCUAACGAGACUGCCAGUGUAAACUGUAAGGAAGGUGGGGAUGACGUCAAAUCAUCACGGCCCUUACGUCCUGGGCCACACACGUGCUACAAUGGUAGGUACAGAGAGCAGCCACUGCGCGAGCAGGAGCGAAUCUACAAAACCUAUCUCAGUUCGGAUCGGAGU